UACAGAGGGUGUUAGCGUUGUUCGGAAUUACUGGGCGUAAAGCGCAUGUAGGCGGCUUUGUAAGUCAGAGGUGAAAGCCCGGGGCUCAACUCCGGAAUUGCCUUUAAAACUGCAUCGCUAGAGUUGUGGAGAGGUAAGUGGAAUUCCGAGUGUAGAGGUGAAAUUCGUAGAUAUUCGGAAGAACACCAGUGGCGAAGGCGACUUACUGGACACAUACUGACGCUGAGGUGCGAAAGCGUGGGGAGCAAACAGG
rnacentral:rRNA from 1 species